CCAAUAGCGUAUAUUAAAGUUGUUGCAGUUAAAAAGCUCGUAGUUGAAUUUCGAGAUCAAAUUGUUGGUCGUGCCUUGGUACGUACUGGCAUUAUUGAUUUCUCCCUUCUGAAGAACCAUGAUGUCAUUAAUUUGGUGUCAUGGGGAAUCAGGACUGUUACUUUGAAAAAAUUAGAGUGUUUAAAGCAGGCUCGCGCUUGAAUACAUUAGCAUGGAGUAAUGAAAUAGGACGUUUAUUUCUAUUUUGUUGGUUUCUAGGAUUGACGUAAUGAUUAAUAGGGAUAGUUGGGGGCAUUAGUAUUCAAUUGUCAGAGGUGAAAUUCUUGGAUUUAUUGAAGACUAACUACUGCGAAAGCAUUUGCCAAGGAUGUUUUCAUUAAUCAAGAACGAAAGUUAGGGGAUCGAAGACGAUCAGAUACCGUCGUAGUCUUAACCAUAAACUAUGCCGACUAGGGAUCGGAUGAUGUUAAUUUUUUAAUGACUCAUUCGGCGCCUUACG
rnacentral:rRNA from 1 species